UCAGGAUAACAUCAGCUUAAACUGGAUCACAGAUAUUGUCGUCAGUGUAAGAAGGUAGAGGAGGAAUAUCAGGAUAACAUCAGCUUAAACUGGAUCACAGAUAUUGUCGUCAGUGUAAGAAGGUAGAGGAGGAAUAUCAGGAUAACAUCAGCUUAAACUGGAUCACAGAUAUUGUCGUCAGUGUAAGAAGGUAGAGGAGGAAUAUCAGGAUAACAUCAGCUUAAACUGGAUCACAGAUAUUGUCGUCAGUGUAAGAAGGUAGAGGAGGAAUAUCAGGAUAACAUCAUCUUAAACUGGAUCACAGAUAUUGUCGUCAGUGUAAGAAGGUAGAGGAGGAAUAUCAGGAUAACAUCAGCUUAAACUGGAUCACAGAUAUUGUCGUCAGUGUAAGAAGGUAGAGGAGGAAUAUCAGGAUAACAUCAGCUUAAACUGGAUCACAGAUAUUGUCGUCAGUGUAAGAAGGUAGAGGAGGAAUAUCAGGAUAACAUCAGCUUAAACUGGAUCACAGAUAUUGUCGUCAGUGUAAGAAGGUAGAGGAGGAAUAUCAGGAUAACAUCAGCUUAAACUGGAUCACAGAUAUUGUCGUCAGUGUAAGAAGGUAGAGGAGGAAUAUCAGGAUAACAUCAGCUUAAACUGGAUCACAGAUAUUGUCGUCAGUGUAAGAAGGUAGAGGAGGAAUAUCAGGAUAACAUCAUCUUAAACUGGAUCACAGAUAUUGUCGUCAGUGUAAGAAGGUAGAGGAGGAAUAUCAGGAUAACAUCAGCUUAAACUGGAUCACAGAUAUUGUCGUCAGUGUAAGAAGGUAGAGGAGGAAUAUCAGGAUAACAUCAGCUUAAACUGGAUCACAGAUAUUGUCGUCAGUGUAAGAAGGUAGAGGA